AACGUUCAUCUCCCGUAUUGGAGACGCAAGUAAGCCGACUCGGAACGGAUC
rnacentral:ncRNA from 1 species